UACGUAGGCAGCGAGCGUUGUUCGGAGUUACUGGGCGUAAAGCGCACGUAGGCGGAUUGUUAAGUCGGGGGUGAAAUCCUGGAGCUCAACUCCAGAACUGCCUUCGAAACUGGCGAUCUUGAGUCCGGGAGAGGUGAGUGGAACUGCGAGUGUAGAGGUGAAAUUCGUAGAUAUUCGCAAGAACACCAGUGGCGAAGGCGGCUCACUGGCCCGGUACUGACGCUGAGGUGCGAAAGCGUGGGAGCAAACAGG
rnacentral:rRNA from 1 species